GCUGGCUCUCAGAGUUAAUUACACAUAACAGGUGGGAGAGAGGGAGAGGGAGGACAAAGCGGAACCACCUCCAUCGCAGAAGUCAGGCAGACCUGAGUUUAGAGCUGUUCAGGGGUAUACUUAUUCAUUUCCUGUACCGCCAUAUGCAUAUCCCUUGACAUUUAUCCAUAUGAUUGGAUGCAAAAAUGUACUUCAGCUCACACGCUGGCAGACGUUUGAUUGCAAGCAGGCAGACUUCUUAAAGUAAGCGUGUGGGCUGAAGUGUCCAAAAUUUGCAAGUACAGACACCGGGCAGCACGACAGGCAGAGUGUUCCUGUGGCCUUGGCGGAGGCAGGCCAGGCCUUGGCGGAGGCAGGCCAGGCCUUGGCGACGGCAGGCCAGGCCUUGGCGACGGCAGGCCAGGCCUUGGCGACGGCAGGCCAGGCCUUGGCGACGGCAGGCCAGGCCUUGGCGACGGCAGGCCAGGCCUUAGCGACGGCAGGCCAGGCCUUAGAGACGGCAGGCCAGGCCUUAGAGACGGCAGGCCAGGCCUUAGAGACAGACUAAUGUCUCUCCCAAGGUCAAGGAGGAAAGCCAUGGCUGAGCUGCGGCAGAGUGCAGCCCUGUCCUGGAGAUGGCAGACCAUUUCCAACCGGUCUCCACAGAACAUAACAUGGAGCCCACUGGGUCUCCUGUAAUGAGGUGGCCCAAAGAGAAACAUGACAGGAAAGGGAGGGAGAGCGGGAUAGAGAGAGAGAGAAAAGGGCCCCGUUUCGUUCAGACUUCAUAAGUGCCCUAGUUUUACAAAAGC
rnacentral:lncRNA from 1 species